rnacentral:snRNA from 1 species
AGCUCUGCACAGUGGCAGUACCAUUGCCAGCGAGCUUCAUCCCAGGUGCAAUUACUGCUACCUGAAAACUUUUCCCAAUACCCGGAUGUGACAACUUGCAAUAUAAUCAGCGUUGGCAAUUUUUGAGGUCCCUACAGGGA